AAGACUAUACUUUCAGGGGUAAUUUCUAUUGUUCAUUACUAGAGAAGUUUCCCUGAAUGUGUAGAGCACCAUAAAAUAAGUUUUUUUUAUU
ensembl:snoRNA U3 Small nucleolar RNA U3